rnacentral:rRNA from 1 species
CUUCGGGCGGGGAGGAGUGGCGAACGGGUGAGUAACACGUGGGCAAUCUGCCCUGCACUCUGGGAUAACUCCGGGAAACCGGAGCUAAUACCGGAUACGACCUUCCAGGGCAUCCUGGGGGGUGGAAAGCUCCGGCGGUGCAGGAUGAGCCCGCGGCCUAUCAGCUGGUUGGUGGGGUGACGGCCCACCAAGGCGACGACGGGUAGCCGGCCUGAGAGGGCGACCGGCCACACUGGGACUGAGACACGGCCCAGACUCCUACGGGAGGCAGCAGUGGGGAAUAUUGCACAAUGGGCGCAAGCCUGAUGCAGCGACGCCGCGUGAGGGAUGACGGCCUUCGGGUUGUAAACCUCUUUCAGCAGGGAAGAAGCGCAAGUGACGGUACCUGCAGAAGAAGCACCGGCUAACUACGUGCCAGCAGCCGCGGUAAUACGUAGGGUGCGAGCGUUGUCCGGAAUUAUUGGGCGUAAAGAGCUCGUAGGCGGCCUGUCGCGUCGGAUGUGAAAGCCCGGGGCUUAACCCCGGGUCUGCAUUCGAUACGGGCAGGCUAGAGUUCGGUAGGGGAGAUCGGAAUUCCUGGUGUAGCGGUGAAAUGCGCAGAUAUCAGGAGGAACACCGGUGGCGAAGGCGGAUCUCUGGGCCGAUACUGACGCUGAGGAGCGAAAGCGUGGGGAGCGAACAGGAUUAGAUACCCCUGGUAAGUCCACGCCGUAAACGUUGGGCACUAGGUGUGGGCGGCAUUCCACGUCGUCCGGUGCCCGCAGCUAACGCAUUAAGUGCCCCGCCCUGGGGGAGUACGGCCGGCAGGGCUAAAACUCAAAGGGAAUUGACGGGGGGCCCGCACAAGCCGGCGGAAACAUGGUGGCUUAAUUCGAACGCAACGCGAAAAACCUUACCAAGGCUUUGAACAUUACCACCGAAACGGCCAGAGAAUGAGUCGUACCCCUUUGUUGGUCCGUGGUACCAGGUGGUGCAUGGGCUGUCGUCACCUCGUGUCGUGAGAAUGUUUGGGUUAAGUUCCCGCCAACGAGGCGGCAACCCCUUGUUUCUGUAGUUGCCAGCGAUGCCCUUUUCACGUGUGCACGGGGAACCUCCCAGGGAAAACUACCGGGGGUCAACUUCC